AUGCAAGUCGAGCGGGGGAGGGUAGCUUGCUACUGGACCUAGCGGCGGACGGGUGAGUAAUGCUUAGGAAUCUGCCUAUUAGUGGGGGACAACAUCUCGAAAGGGAUGCUAAUACCGCAUACGUCCUACGGGAGAAAGCAGGGGAUCUUCGGACCUUGCGCUAAUAGACGAGCCUAAGUCGGAUUAGCUAGUUGGUGGGGUAAAGGCCUACCAAGGCGACGAUCUGUAGCGGGUCUGGGAGGAUGAUCCGCCACACUGGGACUGAGACACGGCCCAGACUCCUACGGGAGGCAGCAGUGGGGAAUAUUGGACAAUGGGGGGAACCCUGAUCCAGCCAUGCCGCGUGUGUGAAGA
rnacentral:rRNA from 1 species